rnacentral:tRNA from 1 species
CAGGCUGUGAGAAAGUGGUAAUCUACUCCUCUUGGACAGGAGAAAUCGUUGGUUCGAAUCCAACCAGUCUGAC